ensembl:lncRNA
GGGGAGGAAAAACACAUCUUUUAUCGGGGAAACGGUUGAUAAAAUAUUUGUACUAAAAAAGGUUGACGCCCAGAACCGACAGUAAGUCAUGAAGGAGGACGCGAAGGGAGGGACGGAUGUUGAACGCAUUGCUGAGGAUCUGAAGUGUGUCGUCUCCCCCCCCCCCCACGUCUAACCGCCGUUUGACCAUAUUCCUGCAGCCUUAAGCGUCUAUAUUCUUUUUGGCCUUGGCUCCAUUGUUUCACCGACAGAUGUUGAGUCUCAGCUUGGCGGAGGAGGAGGAAGCGUGAGGCAAAACGUUUCUUUCGUAGCUGUGAAACAGGAGGCGGGAGGACUGAAGCCGGCGAGGCAGCUUCAUGCUUCACGACUCGCGCUGCUCUUCUCCUCCGUGCACCAUGUGGUGGGCUUCAACUAUUUCAAGCUCUCCUCCGCAGCAGCCCCCCCUUGAUUGUGAAAAGUGAACAUUUGUUGAGGCAGCGAGCCGAAGACGAGAGUUAUUUACCCACGACACCGUGAGGGAACGAGGGAACAAGAGGCGCUUCAUCCAGGAUCUCGUCUGCAACGCGUCUGAUGAGACGCCUCAAACACCUCGAUGAAAAGGAUGUGUUUCCAUGGCGAUCGGACGUGUCCCUCACACCUCACGGACUCAGGUCGGACCUCGGCGACACGACGCCCGUCGCUUGGCUCGAUGUCGGGUCUCCACAACGUCUGGAGUUGGGGUGAAUUCCUCGCCGAGCCCCCCCAGGAUGAGGUCAACGCACGACAUAAUCAAUGAAAAACGAGAUUCCCAGAGCGGUGCCUGGCCUUCGCACACACACACACACACACACACACACACACACA